UCUUUCAAGAUGGAAAUAUGAUUGGAAUGUUUGGGAAAUUAACUAUUUAGUCAAUUAACUGUGUCUUUUCUUGGUCCACUCUUAUUUUCUCUGAAUAUGACAUAAAUUAUUUUGUCAUGUGUUAACUGGUUAACUUUAAGGAUGGUUUCACCUCUAUUCUUGUUUGGACUAACUAGACUUUGAACCAGAACCUCUCUGGGGCACUUGCUAUUACAGAAAAUGGAUGAAAAAGAUGAAGAACUGACAUACACGGCAGUGGCACUCUCAGGGAUCAAGCCCAUUCCACACAUGAGAUCCACCGGUGUUCAGAAGAAGAACAACAGGAAAGAACAGCACAAAUGAAUGAUCUGAAGUCCUCCAGGACCAUGACUAAUGUUGUCUUAAAGCUUCUUCAUCAUUUUCUAGGAAGACACAGAGUAUUCACCAGUCUUCCUCGCAGAGGCAGUCAUCGGCAUAAUCUAUAUAAGGAGAUGAAGACAAAUCCAUUAUCACUUCCUGUGUACCUGGCUUAAUGGAGACAGGACAAAUUCUGUUGUCUUUAGAGUCUCUGCUAAGGUGAGGAACUGAUGCUGGAUCAGACCAAACUCAAGUUCCCUUGGACUCCUUCCUUUCCCACUGUCUCACCAUCCACAUUAAACUGAGAUAAAAAGAAA